UACGUAGGGAGCAAGCGUUGUCCGGAAUCAUUGGGCGUAAAGCGCACGUAGGCGGCCCUGUAAGUCCGCUGUGAAAGUCAAAGGCUCAACCUUUGAAAGCCGGUGGAUACUGCAGGGCUAGAGUCCGGAAGAGGCGAGUGGAACUCCUGGUGUAGCGGUGGAAUGCGCAGAUAUCAGGAAGAACACCCGUGGCUAAGGCGGCUCUCUAGUACGGUACUGACGCUGAGACGCGAAAGCGUGGGGAGCGAACAGG
rnacentral:rRNA from 1 species